CGAUAUUGGGCGUAAGAGCUCGUAGGCGGUUUGUCGCGUCUGCUGUGAAAUCCGGAGGCUCAACCUCCGGCCUGCAGUGGGUACGGGCAGACUAGAGUGCGGUAGGGGAGAUUGGAAUUCCUGGUGUAGCGGUGGAAUGCGCAGAUAUCAGGAGGAACACCGAUGGCGAAGGCAGAUCUCUGGGCCGUAACUGACGCUGAGGAGCGAAAGGGUGGGGAGCAAACAGGCUUAGAUACCCUGGUAGUCCACCCCGUAAACGUUGGGAACUAGUUGUGGGGUCCAUUCCACGGAUUCCGUGACGCAGCUAACGCAUUAAGUUCCCCGCCUGGGGAGUACGGCCGCAAGGCUAAAACUCAAAGGAAUUGACGGGGACCCGCACAAGCGGCGGAGCAUGCGGAUUAAUUCGAUGCAACGCGAAGAACCUUACCAAGGCUUGACAUAUACGAGAACGGGCCAGAAAUGGUCAACUCUUUGGACACUCGUAAACAGGUGGUGCAUGGUUGUCGUCAGCUCGUGUCGUGAGAUGUUGGGUUAAGUCCCGCAACGAGCGCAACCCUCGUUCUAUGUUGCCAGCACGUAAUGGUGGGAACUCAUGGGAUACUGCCGGGGUCAACUCGGAGGAAGGUGGGGAUGACGUCAAAUCAUCAUGCCCCUUAUGUCUUGGGCUUCACGCAUGCUACAAUGGCCGGUACAAAGGGCUGCAAUACCGCGAGGUGGAGCGAAUCCCAAAAAGCCGGUCCCAGUUCGGAUUGAGGUCUGCAACUCGACCUCAUGAAGUCGGAGUCGCUAGUAAUCGCAGAUCAGCAACGCUGCGGUGAAUACGUUCCCGGGUCUUGUACACACCGCCCGUCAAGUCAUGAAAGUCGGUAACACCUGAAGCCGGUGGCCUAACCCUUGUGGAGGGAGCCGUCGAAUGUG
rnacentral:rRNA from 1 species